UCCGUAGGGUGCAAGCGUUGUCCGGAAUUAUUGGGCGUAAAGAGCGUGUAGGCGGCCCGAUUAGUCCGCUGUGAAAGUCCAGGGCUCAACCCUGGAAUGCCGGUGGAUACUGUCGGGCUAGAGUCCGGAAGGGGCGAGUGGAAUUCCUGGUGUAGCGGUGAAAUGCGCAGAUAUCAGGAGGAACACCGGUGGCGAAGGCGGGACUCUGGGCCGAUACUGACGCUGAGACGCGAAAGCGUGGGGAGCAAACAGG
rnacentral:rRNA from 1 species